rnacentral:rRNA from 1 species
ACAGCAAUAUGAAGGUCAGGCUGAAGACCUUACCCGAUUAGCUGAGAGGUGGUGCAUGGCCGUCGUCAGUUCGUACUGUGAAGCAUCCUGUUAAGUCAGGCAACGAGCGAGACCCACGUCCACAGUUGCCAGCAUACCCUCCGGGGUGAUGGGUACACUGUGGAGACCGCCGCUGCUAAAGCGGAGGAAGGAGUGGGCAACGGUAGGUCAGUAUGCCCCGAAUCUCCCGGGCUACACGCGGGCUACAAUGGUUGGUACAAUGGGCAUCUACCCCGAAAGGGGAAGGAAAUCUCUUAAAGCCAAUCGUAGUUCGGAUUGAGGGCUGCAACUCGCCCUCAUGAAGCUGGAAUCCGCAGUAAUCGCGUUUCAACAGAACGCGGUGAAUACGUCCCUGCUCCUU